AAUGAACGUUGGCGGCGUGGAUUAGGCAUGCAAGUCGUGCGAGAAUCUCCCUUCGGGGAGAGGACAGCGGCGAAAGGGAGAGUAACGCGUGGUUACAUACCCUCGGGACCGGGAUAGUAGCGGGAAACUGCUAGUAAUACCGGAUAAUAUCUUUGGAUCAAAGGUGUGAUUCCGCCCGAGGAUUGGACCGCGUUCUAUUAGCUUGUUGGCGGGGUAAUGGCCCACCAAGGCGACGAUGGAUACCGGGUGUGAGAGCAUGGCCCGGCUCACUGGGACUGAGACACUGCCCAGACCCCUGCGGGUGGCUGCAGUCGGGAAUCUUCGGCAAUGGGGGCAACCCUGACCGGGCGACGCCGCGUGCGGGAUGAAGGCCUUCGGGUUGUAAACCGCUGUCAGUUGGGAGGAAGUGCCAGGGGGUUCUCCCCUUGGUUUGACCGAUCUUCAGAGGAAGGACGGGCUAAGUUCGUGCCAGCCGCCGCGGUAAUAC
rnacentral:rRNA from 1 species